ACUCCUACGGGAGGCAGCAGUAGGGAAUCUUCCACAAUGGGCGCAAGCCUGAUGGAGCAACACCGCGUGAGUGAAGAAGGGUUUCGGCUCGUAAAGCUCUGUUGUUAAAGAAGAACACGUAUGAGAGUAACUGUUCAUACGUUGACGGUAUUUAACCAGAAAGUCACGGCUAACUACGUGCCAGCAGCCGCGGUAAUACGUAGGUGGCAAGCGUUAUCCGGAUUUAUUGGGCGUAAAGAGAGUGCAGGCGGUUUUCUAAGUCUGAUGUGAAAGCCUUUCGGCUUAACCGGAGAAGUGCAUCGGAAACUGGAUAACUUGAGUGCAGAAGAGGUAGUGGAACUCCAUGUGUAGCGGUGGAAUGCGUAGAUAUAUGGAAGAACACCAGUGGCGAAGGCGGCUACCUGGUCUGCAACUGACGCUGAGACUCGAAAGCAUGGGUAGCGAACAGGAUUAGAU
rnacentral:rRNA from 1 species